rnacentral:rRNA from 1 species
GAUGAACGCUAGCUACAGGCUUAACACAUGCAAGUCGAGGGGAAACGAUAGAGAAAGCUUGCUUUUUCUAGGCGUCGACCGGCGCACGGGUGAGUAACGCGUAUCCAACCUGCCCACCACUUGGGGAUAACCUUGCGAAAGUAAGACUAAUACCCAAUGACGUCUCUAGAAGACAUCUGAAAGAGAUUAAAGAUUUAUCGGUGAUGGAUGGGGAUGCGUCUGAUUAGCUUGUUGGCGGGGUAACGGCCCACCAAGGCGACGAUCAGUAGGGGUUCUGAGAGGAAGGCCCCCCCACAUUGGAACUGAGACACGGUCCAAACUCCUACGGGAGGCAGCAGUGAGGAAUAUUGGGUCAAUGGACGAGAGUCUGAACCAGCCAAGUAGCGUGCAGGAUGACGGCCCUAUGGGUUGUAAACUGCUUUUAUAAGGGAAUAAAGUGAGUCUCGUGAGACUUUUUGCAUGUACCUUAUGAAUAAGGACCGGCUAAUUCCGUGCCAGCAGCCGCGGU